rnacentral:rRNA from 1 species
GACGAACGCUGGCGGCGUGCUUAACACAUGCAAGUCGAACGGAAAGGCCCCUUUGGGGGUACUCGAGUGGCGAACGGGUGAGUAACACGUGAGUAACCUGCCCUUGACUUCGGGAUAACUUCAGGAAACUGGGGCUAAUACCGGAUAGGAAUCCUUGCUGCAUGGUGGGGGUUGGAAAGCUUCGGCGGUUUUGGAUGGACUCGCGGCUUAUCAGCUUGUUGGUGGGGUAGUGGCUUACCAAGGCUUUGACGGGUAGCCGGCCUGAGAGGGCGACCGGCCACAUUGGGACUGAGAUACGGCCCAGACUCCGACGGGAGGCAGAAGUGGGGAAUAUUGCACAAGGGGCGGAAGCCUGAUGCAGCAACGCCGCGGGCGGGAUGACGGCCUUCGGGUUGUAAACCGCUUUCAGCAGGGGCGAAGCUUGUGGUGACGGUACCUGCAGAAGAAGCACCGGCUAACUACGUG